rnacentral:rRNA from 1 species
CCUACGGGAUGCAGCAGUGAGGAAUAUUGGUCAAUGGUCGGGAGACUGAACCAGCCAAGCCGCGUGAGGGAUGAAGGUACAGAGUAUCGUAAACCUCUUUUGUCAGGGAACAAAGGCGGGGACGUGUCCCCGGAUGAGUGUACCUGAAGAAAAAGCAUCGGCUAACUCCGUGCCAGCAGCCGCGGUAAUACGGAGGAUGCGAGCGUUAUCCGGAUUUAUUGGGUUUAAGGGGUACGCAGGCGGUCUGUUAAGUCAGCGGGAAAAGCCCGGGGCGAAACCCCGGCCCGCCGUUGAAACUGGCAGUCUCGAGUUGGAGAGAAGUAUGCGGAAUGCGCGGUGUAGCGGUGAAAUGCAUAGAUAUCGCGCAGAACUCCGAUUGCGAAGGCAGCAUGCCGGCUCCACACUGACGCUGAGGCACGAAAGCGUGGGUAUCGAACAGGAUUAGAUACCCGUGUAGUC